GUGGGGAAUCUUGCGCAAUGGGCGAAAGCCUGACGCAGCCAUGCCGCGUGAAUGAUGAAGGUCUUAGGAUUGUAAAAUUCUUUCACCGGGGACGAUAAUGACGGUACCCGGAGAAGAAGCUCCGGCUAACUUCGUGCCAGCAGCCGCGGUAAUACGAAGGGGGCUAGCGUUGCUCGGAAUUACUGGGCGUCAAGGGCGCGUAGGCGGACAGCUUAGUCAGAGGUGAAAGCCCAGGGCUCAACCUUGGAAUUGGCUUUGAUACUGGCUGUCUUGAGUUUGGGAGAGGUGAGUGGAACUCCGAGUGUAGAGGUGAAGUUCGUAGGUAUUCGGAAGAACACCAGUGGCGAAGGCGACUCACUGGCCCAAUACUGACGCUGAGGCGCGAAAGCGUGGGGAGCAAACAGGAUUAGAUACCCGAGUAGUCC
rnacentral:rRNA from 1 species